rnacentral:rRNA from 1 species
GGAUGAGCCCGCGGCCUAUCAGCUUGUUGGUGGGGUAAUGGCCUACCAAGGCGGCGACGGGUAGCCGGCCUGAGAGGGUGUACGGCCACAUUGGGACUGAGAUACGGCCCAGACUCCUACGGGAGGCAGCAGUGGGGAAUAUUGCACAAUGGGCGCAAGCCUGAUGCAGCGACGCCGCGUGGGGGAUGAAGGCCUUCGGGUUGUAAACUCCUUUCGCUAGGGACGAAGCUUUGUUGUGACGGUACCUAGAUAAGAAGCACCGGCUAACUACGUGCCAGCAGCCGCGGUAAUACGUAGGGUGCGAGCGUUGUCCGGAAUUACUGGGCGUAAAGGGCUCGUAGGUGGUUUGUCGCGUCGUCUGUGAAAUUCUGGGGCUUAACUCCGGGCGUGCAGGCGAUACGGGCAUAACUUGAGUGCUGUAGGGGUAACUGGAAUUC